UUUGCUCUUCUUUUCUUUUUCAUUUUCUCUCAACACAACACACCUCUCUCUCUCACUCCCUCACUCUCCCACCGGCACCUUCACUUCUCAUCACCUCAACCAUCUUUUUCUGGCAAAGUAUACCGGAAAACUCCAUAAGAAUAAGGUUCUAACUAAUCUCCUUUGGAGCUUGGAGAGUUAGGCUUUUUGCGGGUUGCAAGAGUAGGCAACAAUCUUUUGAGACAGCUUUUUGGUGGCUAAUAGUAGUUAGACUAACUACUGAUGGAGGCUGAACUUUUGUAAUGGAGAUAUUAGAUGUUGUACAUCUUAGAAUAGGCUUGACUCAUUCUUUUGUAUAUUAUAGUGGUUGUGACUUUAUUUCCACUAAUGGGACAAACUGUUGAUAUGUAAUUAUUUAUUCAGACCUCUAUUAUUUUGUGGCCAGUGGUCAUUGUAAUUAAUGCUUAGAGCUCUGACUUACUCUGAGAGUAUAUUCAAUGAAAUUAUAAUGAUAAUUCUUGA